GACGAACGCUGGCGGCGUGCUUAACACAUGCAAGUCGAGCGGUAAGGCCUCUUCGGGGGUACACGAGCGGCGAACGGGUGAGUAACACGUGAGUAAUCUGCCCUUCACUUUGGGAUAAGCCUCGGAAACGGGGUCUAAUACCGGAUACGACACUUUUACGCAUGUAAUGGGUGUGGAAACUUGUGUGGGUGGGGGAUGUGCUCGCGGCCUAUCAGCUUGUUGGUGGGGUAAUGGCCUACCAAGGCUUCGACGGGUAGCCGGCCUGAGAGGGUGACCGGCCACACUGGGACUGAGACACGGCCCAGACUCCUACGGGAGGCAGCAGUGGGGAAUAUUGGACAAUGGGCGGAAGCCUGAUCCAGCAACGCCGCGUGAGGGAUGACGGCCUUCGGGUUGUAAACCUCUUUCAGUACCGACGAAGUGCCUGUAUGGGUUUUGACGGUAGGUACAGAAGAAGCACCGGCCAACUACGUGCCAGCAGCC
rnacentral:rRNA from 1 species